rnacentral:rRNA from 1 species
AGUGAACGCUGGCGGUAGGCCUAACACAUGCAAGUCGAACGGCAGCACAGUAAGAGCUUGCUCUUACGGGUGGCGAGUGGCGGACGGGUGAGGAAUACAUCGGAAUCUACUUUUUCGUGGGGGAUAACGUAGGGAAACUUACGCUAAUACCGCAUACGACCUACGGGUGAAAGCAGGGGAUCUUCGGACCUUGCGCGAUUGAAUGAGCCGAUGUCGGAUUAGCUAGUUGGCGGGGUAAAGGCCCACCAAGGCGACGAUCCGUAGCUGGUCUGAGAGGAUGAUCAGCCACACUGGAACUGAGACACGGUCCAGACUCCUACGGGAGGUGGCAGUGGGGAAUAUUGGACAAUGGGCGCAAGCCUGAUCCAGCCAUACCGCGUGGGUGAAGAAGGCCUUCGGGUUGUAAAGCCCUUUUGUUGGGAAAGAAAAGCAGCAGGUUAAUACCCCGCUGUUCUGACGGUACCCAAAGAAUAAGCACCGGCUAACUUCGUG